GCCCCCGUAGCUCAGAGGCAUAGAGCGGGCGAUUACUAAUCGCCUUUGCGCGGGUUGGAAUCCCGCCGGGGGCACCU
rnacentral:tRNA from 1 species